UACGGGGGGGGCAAGCGUUGUUCGGAAUUACUGGGCGUAAAGGGCUCGUAGGUGGCCAACUAAGUCAGACGUGAAAUCCCUCGGCUUAACCGGGGAACUGCGUCCGAUACUGGAUGGCUUGAGUUCGGGAGAGGGAUGCGGAAUUCCAGGUGUAGCGGUGAAAUGCGUAGAGAUGUGGAGGAAUACCGAUGGCGAAGGCAGCCCCCUGGGACGUGACUGACGCUCAUGCACGAAAGCGUGGGGAGCAAACAGG
rnacentral:rRNA from 1 species